CUUCUCUGCGACUUUCUUCUCCGUUCGAAGAAAGCCUAGCAAAAAAAUUCACUUUACCAGCCGGCAGCCACUGAGUCUGACUGAUUUAGAUCUACACCCUCACUCCGUUCGUCGCCGACGCCGUUGCUCGCCGCAUCUGUGAGACUCCAUCGCCAUCGCCAUCGCCUUAACAAGUCCCAAGUCCCAAGUCCCAAAUCGAAGCUGCUCUCUGCCUCUCCGGCCUCCGCCAGUCCGCCGCGCUCUACGUCUCCUGUCGGCUGUGUCCUGCCGUGCUGGUUCAUCGCUGCCGAGUGUCGAAGACGAAGCACCAAGAUCUCACUAGUUCAUCGCUGGUUCAUCACUGCUCAUCUCUGGCUCACUUAGAAAAUUUCAUGACUGGUUAUCGGGUAGUUUUCAACCGCGAGAACAUGACUUUGGGAUGGAAGCCAUCUAACUACUCAGAUCGGAUCGGGCAGUCGAACCGGUAGAAUCGAAAAUCGGUCAGGCAUCCGGUCCGAACUAGUUAAAAAACUCGAGUGUUAAAAAUUCGGUGAAUCGGAUAAUUUGAUCAACCCCGGUUUUUUUUUUUUGCCCUUUUUCUGCCUUUUUUUUCAAUCAAAAGUUUGACUGACCAACUAAAAAAGAGACGAAAUUAACAAAACUUGGGUCAGCACCUCUGCUUCUCUUUCCGUUGUUUUCUUCCUUUCUUCUUCAGCUCCAAUAACCCUAAAAUCUAAAAGCCUCCACCGCUGACAUUUGAGAUUCACCGAUCGUCGCUUAAUCAAGGUUGCCGUUAGUCACCUGUCCUUCAAUCUCUAGCCUCCACCGCCGCAACAUCACCAGUUUCUUCAGAUUUCAAGGUUCAAUCAAGUAAUUAACACGCUGGUGAACCGAAGCUAAAUCUGUUUUUAAUGUGCAGCUUGAUGAUGAGGAUGAUCUUGAUGACAUCGAUUUCGAAAGUUAUGAAAUUGGAGAAAAGGAUGAUGAAGAUGAAGAUGAAGAAUGGCUUAGAUAGUUCUUUGAUUUAGAAAUUGAACGUGUUGUUUUAUUUAGAUUGAUAUUUAUCAAGCAUUUGAACAUGAGCUUGUUACCUUAUUUGGAUUGCUAUUUGUCAGGGAUUAAACAUGUAUGGAAUUUCUAUUUUAUAAAUUUUGUGAGUUUGGAUGAAUUUGGUGUAUUGGAUAUAAAUUUAGAUGAUUGGGUUCUUUGAUUA